UACGAAGGGUGCAAACGUUGCUCGGAAUUAUUGGGCGUAAAGCGCACGUAGGCGGCUUAGCAAGUCGGAAGUGAAAUCCCACGGCUCAACCAUGGAAGUGCUUUCGAAACUGCUGAGCUUGAGUACAAAAGAGGAUCGCGGAAUUCCCGGUGUAGAGGUGAAAUUCGUAGAUAUCGGGAGGAACACCAGUGGCGAAGGCGGCGAUCUGGGUUGAUACUGACGCUGAGGUGCGAAAGCCAGGGGAGCAAACGGG
rnacentral:rRNA from 1 species